GACAAACGCUGGCGGCGUGCCUAAUACAUGCAAGUAGAACGCUGAAGGAGGAGCUUGCUUCUCUGGAUGAGUUGCGAACGGGUGAGUAACGCGUAGGUAACCUGCCUGGUAGUGGGGGAUAACUAUUGGAAACGAUAGCUAAUACCGCAUAAUAGCAGUUGUUGCAUGAUAACUGUUUGAAAGGUGCAAUUGCACCGCUACCAGAUGGACCUGCGUUGUAUUAGCUAGUUGGUGGGGUAACGGCUCACCAAGGCGACGAUACAUAGCCGACCUGAGAGGGUGAUCGGCCACACUGGGACUGAGACACGGCCCAGACUCCUACGGGAGGCAGCAGUAGGGAAUCUUCGGCAAUGGACGGAAGUCUGACCGAGCAACGCCGCGUGAGUGAAGAAGGUUUUCGGAUCGUAAAGCUCUGUUGUAAGAGAAGAACGAGUGUGAGAGUGGAAAGUUCACACUGUGACGGUAGCUUACCAGAAAGGGACGGCUAACUACGUG
rnacentral:rRNA from 1 species